AGAUGGCUUAGUGCCUUCGGGAACCGUGAGACAGGUGCUGCAUGGCUGUCGUCAGCUCGUGUUGUGAAAUGUUGGGUUAAGUCCCGCAACGAGCGCAACCCUUAUCCUUUGUUGCCAGCACGUAAUGGUGGGAACUCAAAGGAGACUGCCGGUGAUAAACCGGAGGAAGGUGGGGAUGACGUCAAGUCAUCAUGGCCCUUACGAGUAGGGCUACACACGUGCUACAAUGGCAUAUACAAAGAGAAGCGAACUCGCGAGAGCAAGCGGACCUCAUAAAGUAUGUCGUAGUCCGGAUUGGAGUCUGCAACUCGACUCCAUGAAGUCGGAAUCGCUAGUAAUCGUAGAUCAGAAUGCUACGGUGAAUACGUUCCCGGGCCUUGUACACACCGCCCGUCACACCAUGGGAGUGGGUUGCAAAAGAAGUAGGUAGCUUAACCUUCGGGAGGGCGCUUACCACUUUGUGAUUCAUGACUGGGGUGAAGUCGUAACAAGGUAGCCGU
rnacentral:rRNA from 1 species